rnacentral:lncRNA from 1 species
GAGGCUGUAAUUGGAUUUUUCUUCCGAUAAACAGUGGUGCUAUAAGUCACAUGUUACAGCUACAACAUACAAAACCAAAAAUUGUACAAAACUCAUACAUUUCAGACCAAAGAUUUUAGUGCAAAAACAGUAGAAAAUUAUACAUGGACCGAGUCCUUGUGUUUUCUUUCUUCAGUGUCCAGAUCAUACCGAAAAAACAUACACCUAACACAUGCACUGCACACACAAGUGCAAACUCUCAUAGUAGAUUUUGUUUUGCGAACUCCUAGAGUUCUUGUGUUUUGAACUCCUCUGGUUGAACCUCCCAUUGAAAUAGAGUCUUUGCCAUAAUAUACAAUCUGCAACUGAGCAUCACAUGUGUGUUUAGUUUAAAUUCCAGGAAUUAUCACUAAGGAAUAGUUCAAAAGCAACCACACACAAGUUCAACAGAAGCACAUGGCAAAAACUAUCUACAAAAGGUAGCACAGGCACAAAAGUUUAGUACUAGUAAGCUACAAUUAGACAAGUUUACAAUUAACCGAAGUUAACUGGAAACAUAAAUAUAGAUGCAAGUUCCAACUUUUUUCAUGAACUGAUGUGGAUGAGAUGUAACCCAAACCAAUAGGUGAUUUGCGAACUUAUGAGAAAUAAUUCUGUUAAACACCUAGCUUCAGUACAAUCAUCUAUGAAAAGUUAUCUAGUUCCAAAUUAUGACCUUGAAGAAUAAUUCUCAUAAGCAUUAGAACAAGCAUGUAGAAGAGUGUUGAGGGCACACAUAAUUUUGGGGUAUUUCCUCAAGCUUCUACACUUCUUUUUAAGUAGACAAAAAUGAUGAAAGGAAACACACUUUGUAAGAUGUACUGAAAAAGCCUAAAAAGGUGAAGUGAAAUGUUUUGAACCUCCAAGAAGCCUCUCGACGAACUGAAACUUUGUGUAUCCCAGGAGGUUGACCUGCAGAGGAGCACGAACUAGAACAUUAAGCAUCAACUUCUACAACUUAUAUACACAGGAAACGUGAAUUUCUACAUCUUGUUUUGAACUUCUAGUAAAAGAUCAAGUAUUCAUUAAACCAAACAAGGGUGAUGGGAGUUGAACAAGAUCCCUCAGCCUCAUCUCUAAACAUUACCCUUUAAUCUUCCUGAACUGAAUUCCUCUCAUCUAUGUACAUUGGCAAUGGACUACUCGUGCACAAGUAGAUGUACUGCUCUCCUGGGACAGAGGGGCGAAGUGUGUGCCUCCUGAGCUGCAGGGUCGAACUACUUCGGGUUGUGUCAUUGAACGACCCGGUGUGGCGGCGGUGAACGGUAUGGGAAGUGCGACGAUGAAGCCCCACCGGCAGUGGCAGGAGGCUCGACGCAAUCGCCUAGUAGCUGCAACGGUGAACUGCUUGGGCGGCCGGGUUGGACUGCUGGUCGCCUAAUUCAUUAUCCAACAAAUGUGCUCGCCUAAUUCCAGGUACAACCUGUGAAGGUCCUAGAACAUCUAAUUCAUUAUCCAAUGAAUUUUCUUGCCUAAUGACUUGUUUAUUAUCACUGACACCGAUCCAUUAUGACGGCCUACGAAAGAAAGGUUCUUGCUUUCUUCCCUCAGGUCUGAAUCAAGAGCACCCGUAGUUUAAUUCAAAAUAAAAUGACAGUUCGAAUGGAGGCACAAAGAUCUUUACAGUCGGGAGCUGGAGAGGAGAAAUUUUGAGCAGGGUGUACCUCACGAUGGCUGGGGAAGGGGCGCUGCGAUGGUACACGGCCUCGGGCGGCGGGUUUGGUGUGCAUCUCCCUGUAUCAGUGUUGACACUCCCUCUUGUUUCCUGUCAAGAAAGAAGAAUGAGGUCACCAAUGGCGUUUUCAAGGGAAUUAAUUAGCAUGCAUUUCAUCGACAUGAGCGGCUCGCUGGAUCGGUAGCUCUACAGGAGCUCAUGAAUACACCACGACUCCAGCAGCAAAGCCCUGAGUAGUCCACCCUCUACAUCUUCCCCUUCUACUUUUGAAACCAGAAAAAAUGAAACAACUCGUCGGUACAUGAAGAAUGAGAGAAAGGAAAGUCAAAAGAACUUAAGCAUCCUACAACUACUUCUGCAAUUUAUCCUAAUCCCUUUUGCUCAGUGCUUGAAAUGUCCUACAAUAAUCAGGAAAUAGAAAGGAAAGUGGUGAGAGCUUUCGGUUGAACUUUCAACGCUUUGUCUUUUGAACUUAUAUGACCUUAUUAGUUCUUUGUUUUAAAAAUUGUAAAUACAAUGUUCCUAAUCUGAAAUAAAACAUUUUUUCUGGGAAAGUGAAAACAAUGAGACACCGAACCCUCUCUCUAAUACACACAGAACUGAUGGUAGAAUACAUAGCGAGUUGCUAAUAAUGUUUUUGAUUUUCCCCUUAGGAAACAUGAUCUUUUCUUCUUAUGAUAUAUAAAACAAAACUAUCUCUCCAACACACAUCGAACUAUUCGCACAUUUCUCUGUGGAUUGAGGAAAGAAUACAUAGUGAAAUAACAUUUACUAGUACUAGUCUUGAGAAAACAAGAGCUCAAAUGCCAAGCAAGGAGUUUUUGUGUUAGGUUUGAACUGAUAGCCUACCUGUAAGUAAACCAAGGAUCACAUAAUACUGCCCUGGAAGAUCAAAGCCAGUAAGUUACCAAGGAUGAUGAUUCGUUUUGGUGCUGUUAUGGUACUGUUACUCAUACAUUUCUUUAUUUCAGAACUGGCAAUAGAAUUAUGAUUGUCUAUUUGAGAAUCAGAUUCAAAACUGGCAAUCUAUAUAUCUGGAAAGAAAGGUAACACAGCAUGAAUGCUUGAUUAUGUAAUUUUUUUGCAACGAAAGCUACUAUUGGAACUCAUGUACCCUGUACAAGUUCGGUUCUGAAAAUAAAAUUAACAGUACAAGAAAUAAAUAAUGAGAGUGCAGCUUUUGAAAAUGUUGUGCUAAUUCAAUGCUAGGGUAGCAAAAAAUAAAACAUUACACAUCAUACUAAUUGUAGUACAAAAUGGUUCUUUUUUGCACAUUUUUGUGGGUUAAGUUCAUAUGGCCAGUAGCUAUCAAGGAUUCAAGUGAACUCUCAGUAAAAGUAAUUGUGUACUCCUCAUGUAGAAAUACCUGGACUUAUUGUCACAUGUGUUCUUUGUCAUCCAGAACACAACAACGUUUUUCUAUGCUACUCUCUCUGAUCACUUAAGAAUCACAAAAGGCUUGCAAACUGUGAGCUUGUACUCUCACUAACAAUCAAUAGGACUCUCAUGUUUCUUGAGCACAGAUCAACGGAAAACAUCCAAAAACAAAAUCUCUACUGUUUGCAAAUGUUCCAUAGAAUAUCUUAUCAUGAACGGACUGGUGAACUAACAGAGAAUUUGUUUCCAGCAACCUUCCUAGCGGUUCAGGUUUUUUUAUUUCUCGAGCUCUAAUUUUUUAGCUUGCCCGACAUCUAAACAUGAACUAACACGAUACUUCUGCUGAUAUUUUUCUGUCAAUGAACUUCUACAAUUUAGGUACUAGAACUCACUGAUGCUAUUUACUCUUCAUUUUCAAGGCAUUUUCAGUACAUGCCAAACAUUUGUUUUUUAAACACAUCCACAGGUUAAACGGAUCAGUACAUGAUGAAGAAUGUCAGUUUUCAGAAGCAAAACUUGCACUAAAUAUGUUCAGAGAACAUGAGGCUCUCAUGUACUCUAGGCUACACACCAAACCUAGCUUUUACCAUGAUGCACCUUCUACUAUGGAAUGUAGACACGGAAAUAAAACAAUUUCUUAUAAAGCUUCGUAGCCCAUUCACUUCAACCUUUAGAAGAAAAACUUAUUUUUUGGGAGAAUAGAAGAUGAUUUCUAAACUGCAGUACUUACCCCAGCGCUAGAGCUCAUGGGGAAGAGGAGUGGACAAAGGAAAAAACAUUUAUGUAGGGUGUCUGCCAUGUGAAUUGGCCAAGGUAUUUUUUGGGCAAACCUUUCUACCUAGUUGUUCGUACUUCAUAUGAACUUCACAGCAUUUUUUGUGCAAUGAACUUGCUAUCCCAGACUACUCUCUUCCCCUAUCAACCUAAUAAAACACUAUUUUUUGGUGGAGUGCUCUAGUACCUGAACUACUCUCUUCCCACUUUGUCAAAACUCUGUUCCCGCUUUGUCAAAAUUAUGUACUUUUCUCGACUCUUGUAUUUGAACUACUUAGAAUAUUUUAGUUGAACUCUUUCUAAAAGCAGUAAAACCAAGCGAUGCCGUGGUAGCUAGGAACGAAAAAGAAAACAAAGAGAGCUAGCGAACAUGCACUGCACCAUUUCGCUUUGCCAUGAGAUGGCCAUGGAGCUAGGCGAUCUUUGAUGGCCCUACAAAGGCAUUACGUAACUGAUUGUGCAAGAAACAGGAGAAAAAAGUUCAGUAGCGACACUGGCUCACCAGCAAAAAAAGACAUAUACUACAGAAUGUGCCAAAAACAAGAGAACCAACAUUUUGGCACUAAACUGUCACCACUCACUAUCGUAAAAUGUGGAAGAAACAGAAGAACCACCAUCAAUAAAAAUGUAUGUGAAGUGGAGUGUUAGUUGGAAAGAUUUAAUUUAGUAUAACAUGCAUUUUAUUAUUUCAAUAUUCUAAUUCAGAAUUAAAAUGUCCCAGGAGAGACAAUUAGCAGCUCAUGGCAAGACCUAAAUCUGCUUGAUCAGACAUUAUACAAUUGUGCACUGAAAUUCAGCUACUUAAUUUUGGAUAAGAAUCACAAUGUUGGAUUUGAAUGAAGAUACAAAUAGUAUUAGACAAACCUCAGGAUAUAGCUCAGAGCUUCAUUCGGCUAGGUAUCAUCAGUACACCCUCCAUGUCAAGUUCUGAAUUGAACAUGUUUUGAAGUUGAGACAAACAAAGUCGCAUUGGAGUUGACAGAGGGUGUUCAUGCGCCGGGUUGUCGAGGCCACGUUGAACAGGCAGUGGUGGCAGAGGUGAACGGUCUAGGGUGGCGGAGGUGAAUGGCCUGCACGUUGAGGCGGCGGGACACAUCGUCGGGAGGAGUGGGCGUGUCGCCGGCAGGAGGGGUNNNNNNNNNNNNNN